GCUCAUGUUCUCUGGAUUUGACUGGCAUUUGUAUCAUUCACUAUUUUUCAUCUUUCUCUACUAAAUUGCAUUUUUUUUUUCUAGACUUAAAAUCGGUGCAAAUUUUCUCUAAUCUCGUUCAACCACUCUUUCUACAACGAUUGGAUCUUCUUCGGUGAGAACAUGGGCAGCCGAAUUUGCGCCACGAGGGAUUCCGUAAACUUAAAUAUGUUGAUUUUUCAACGUCAUACUCGAUUACUGGAACCUUUUUUAGGUCCAUUCAGCCCUUGUCAACCAUACUUAUGAGAUUCUUUUGAAGUCCUCUUUUUUUAACACUUAUUUUUACACACUACUCAGAAGUUCUCUCUUUGAUCAGGAAUUUGGGAAAUGGCAGUGGUGGAGAUCUACUAGAGGUUUUAAUAUUGAGGGACUGCAUGCAUCUAAGAGAGAUGGAAGUUGCUCAGUUUUUGACAGCUAUUUUGAAG